AACGAACGCUGGCGGCAUGCCUAACACAUGCAAGUCGAACGAGAUCUUCGGGUCUAGUGGCGCACGGGUGCGUAACGCGUGGGAAUCUGCCCUUUGGUUCGGAAUAACAGUUGGAAACGACUGCUAAUACCGGAUGAUGACGAAAGUCCAAAGAUUUAUCGCCAGAGGAUGAGCCCGCGUAGGAUUAGCUAGUUGGUGUGGUAAAGGCGCACCAAGGCGACGAUCCUUAGCUGGUCUGAGAGGAUGAUCAGCCACACUGGGACUGAGACACGGCCCAGCCUCCUGCGGGAGGCAGCAGUGGGGAAUAUGGGACAAUGGGCGAAAGCCUGGUCCAGCAAUGCCGCGUGAGUGAUGAAGGCCUUAGGGUUGUAAAGCUCUUUUACCCGGGAUGAUAAUGACAGUACCGGGAGAAUAAGCUCCGGCUAACUCCGUGCCAGCCGCCGCCGUAA
rnacentral:rRNA from 1 species